rnacentral:rRNA from 1 species
GGUUGAUCCYGCCGGAGGUCACUGCUAUCGGGGUUCGACUAAGCCAUGCAAGUCGAGAGGGGUAAAGCCCUCGGCGAACUGCUCAGUAACACGUGGAUAACCUGACCUAGGGUGGAGGAUAACCCCGGGAAACUGGGGAUAAUACUCCAUAGGCUACGGAAGCUGGAAUGCUCUGUAACCGAAAGCUCCGGCGCCCUAGGAUGGGUCUGCGGCCGAUUAGGUUGUUGUUGGGGUAACGGCCCAACAAGCCGAUCAUCGGUACGGGUUGUGGGAGCAAGAGCCCGGAGAUGGAUUCUGAGACAUGAAUCCAGGCCCUACGGGGCGCAGCAGGCGCGAAAACUUUACAAUGCGGGAACCCGUGAUAAGGGGACCCCGAGUGCCUGUACACGCAGGCUGUUCAGGUGUUUAAAACGCAUCUGGAGAAAGGGCCGGGCAAGACCGGUGCCAGCCGCCGCGGUAAUACCGGCGGCUCGAGUGGUGGCCACUAUUACUGGGCUUAAAGCGUCCGUAGCCGGGUUGUUAAGUCUCCCGGGAAAUCCAACGGCUCAACCGUUGGGCGUUCGGGGGAUACUGGCAAUCUAGGGAUCGGGGGAGGUGAGAGGUACUCUAGGGGUAGGAGUGAAAUCCUGUAAUCCUUGGGGGACCACCUGUGGCGAAGGCGUCUCACCAGAACGACUCCGACGGUGAGGGACGAAAGCUGGGGGAGCAAACCGGAUUAGAUACCCGGGUAGUCCCAGCUGUAAACGAUGCGCGUUAGGUGUAUCGGUGACUACGAGUCACCGAGGUGCCGAAGGGAAACCGUGAAACGUGCCGCCUGGGAAGUACGGUCGCAAGGCUGAAACUUAAAGGAAUUGGCGGGGGAGCACCACAACGGGUGGAGCCUGCGGUUUAAUUGGAGUCAACGCCGGG